rnacentral:rRNA from 1 species
UACGUAGGGAGCAAGCGCUGUCUGGAAUCAUUGGGCGGAAAGCGCGCGUAGGUCGCUCUGUAAGUCCGUUGUGAAAGUCAAAGGCUCAACCUUUGAAAGCCGAUGGAUACUGCAGAGCUAGAGUACGGAAGAGGCGAGUGGAAUUCCUGGUGUAGCGGUGGAAUGCGCAGAUAUCAGGAGGAACACCAAUAGCGAAGGCAGCUCGCUGGGACGUUACUGACACUGAGGCGCGAAAGCGUGGGGAGCGAACAGG